rnacentral:rRNA from 1 species
ACUACCCGCUGAACUUAAGCAUAUCAAUAAGCGGAGGAAAAGAAACUAACAAGGAUUCCCCUAGUAACUGCGAGUGAAGCGGGAAAAGCUCAAAUUUAAAAUCUGGCGGUCCCUGUGGCCGUCCG